AACGAGACAAGGUGGGAGGACAGAGUGAUAAAGGGGAGUGGCGUUGAUGUAGCCUCUGCGAGUGGAGGUUUGCUGGGAGAUUGAUCCCAGGGAGAGCCUUGUGAAUGCCCUAGCCAUCUUUCACGGUUUUCAGUUAUUGCCACGACACCGUUGACUGUCAGGGCAUUAGAAGGUGUGUCAUUUAAUGCGCAGUUAGAACUGCUAACUGUAGUCUUGGAGGAUGUCAGUAAUCUGUUGAUAUUCCCCAUCUAUCCGUGCCCCGCCCCCCGCAAGGAAUAGGCUCUGCCUCUGGCCGGAGAGAGGGGCAUCCGUCCGUUAUUUUCUCCCUCGUUUCUACGCACCCCACCCCCAUCUCUGCAGCUGUCAUGGCGGCCUCGCGGUUAAGUUUGUGUGCCCGCAGCCUUUUGGCUAUGCGAGGGCUCCAGGCUACCGACAUUUGCUGGAAACCGAGCUCCUCCUCUGGGGCUGUGGUCGCCCGGUCCACUGUGGCACGAAUGAAGCAGCAGCAGAGAGAACCUACCCCGCAAUGGUUGGAGGACCCAGAGCCCGAGGACGAAAACGUCUACUCGAAGAACCCAUACUUCCAUGGUUAUGACGAGGACCCCGUGGUGGACGACUGGAAUAUGCAAGCCGUCUUCUUCUUUGGUUUUUCCAUCGUCCUGGUCUUCGGCACCACCUUUGUGGCUUACGUGCCCAACUAUGGGAUGGUUGAGUGGGCCCGCUGGGAAGCUGAGAUGCUCGUGAAACACCGAGAAGACAAUGGCCUCCCUCUCAUGGAAUCCAACCGGUUUGACCCCAGCAAGAUCCAACUACCAGGGGAUGACUGAUGAGCUACUGAGUGGGAUGUAAGAAGCACUACGUUGCCUUCACCCUUGCCUGUUUUCCUCACUCCCCGGAGCACAGGGGGGGAACAGUGCCGUUACUCCAGACUGUCAAUCAUUUGGCCAAGGGACCACAGCUCAGGAAGCCUGACUCACCUAAAACUAAGCUAAAGAGAAGGGAGGAGUAAUUAUCCCCUUAAUGAGAUAAUGAACUUUCCUUCCCAGGAACCCUGGGGCCUCCACUUUGUGGUCUGCCCAUUGAAUCCUGGCUCACAAGAGCAAGCUGUUUCUUUUGCCCUUUUCUUUCUUUUGAAUACUUGCCAAUGCCUGGGCGUUUUUUCUUGAUGUUCUGGCCUCUCUCGUUCUUCUUUUGCAUCUCCCUUGCCCUGCUUCUGUCACGGGGCUGCUUGGCCAACCUCCAUGGCUAACCUUCACAGAAGCGGCAUGGCCUUUGUCUUCUCCGACUUGUGGCAUCUGCCAGGAUUUUCAGCCUUCUCUGUGCUAGCCGGCCUAGACACAGACCCCUUCGCCCUUCCUUCACUUCCCUUGCACGAAUUAUUUUGAAGCUAGCCAAUCAAGAAAGAUUGUGAGGUCAUCACCACAACCAGUGGAGAAAAGACAGUCACCACCUCCUGUAGAGAGAAAAUCACAGGAAUCUGCUGCCAGGGCAGGGCGUACUUGCUGUUUAACUGGGAACUCUGCUUUGGCCCCACCUCUCUCCCUCCAGACCCCACUCUCUGAAAGCCUGCCCAAUAUUGGCUCCUCCCCGGAGCUACGCAAGACUGCUCUGCUCCUCCAGCCCAGGCCCCUAGACCCUGGGUGUGACUUCUCCUCCCUACUUCCCAGAUGACCCUGGAGUUGCUUUGUUCAGAUUAAACUUGGCCUUAUUCAUUU